rnacentral:rRNA from 1 species
CAAAGAGCGCAAGGGGAAUGCCUUGGCACUGGGAGCCGACGAAGGACGUAGCGAUCUACGAUAAGCCACGGUGAGCCGAAAGCAGGCAUCGACCCGUGGAUUUCCGAAUGGGGCAACCUGGCUGAAUAGAACUCAGUCAACAUACGGUGAAUAAAAUAGUCGUAUGUAGGGAACCGCCUGAACUGAAACAUCUAAGUAGGGCGAGGAAAAGAAAUCAACCGAGAUUCCGCAAGUAGUGGCGAGCGAACGCGGAAGAGGCCAAACCGAGAGUAGUAAUACUUUCGGGGUUCGGACAGCGGACGGUAUGCUGAAGGUUAGCAGAAGGACAUGGGACGGUCCACCAAAGAGAGUGAGAGUCUCGUAUGCGAAAACUGAAAGCAGCCAGCUGAAUCCAGAGUACCGCCGGACACGUGAAACCCGGUGGGAAUAUGGGGGGACCAUCCUCCAAGCCUAAAUACUACCCAGUGACCGAUAGCGUAUAGUACUGUGAAGGAAAGGUGAAAAGAACCCCGGGAGGGGAGUGAAAAGAACCUGAAACCUUGUGCUUACAAGCACACAAAGCACGUCAACGUGUGAUGUGGUACCUUUUGUAGAAUGGUCCGGCGAGUGAAUGUAACUGGCGAGGUUAAGUUCUUAAGGAACGGAGCCGAAGCGAAAGCAAGUCUGAAUAGGGCGUCUUAGUCAGUUGUAUUCGACCCGAAACCGGGUGACCUAUCCAUGUCCAGGAUGAAGUUAAGGUAAAACUUGAUGGAGGUCCGAACCCACGGUCGUUGAAAUGCCCGGGGAUGAGAUGUGGAUAGCGGAGAAAUUCCAAUCGAACCCGGAUAUAGCUGGUUCUCUCCGAAAUAGCUUUAGGGCUAGCCUCGACUGAACAUUACCGGAGGUAGAGCACUGAAUGGGCUAGGGGCCGAGAGGUUACUGAACCCUAUCAAACUUCAAAUGCCGGAAAAUGAUAGUCGGGAGUCAGACUGCGUGAGAUAAGUUUCGUAGUCGAAAGGGAAACAGCCCAGACCCACAGCUAAGGUCCCAAAGUACGGUUAAGUGGAAAAGGAUGUGGAGUUGCACAGACAACCAGGAUGUUGGCUUAGAAGCAGCCACUCAUUAAAAGAGUGCGUAAUAGCUCACUGGUCGAGUGACUCUGCGCCGAAAAUUUAACGGGGCUAAAUCGUACACCGAAGCUUGGGAUGUAUCUAUGAUACAUGGUAGGAGAGCGUUGAAUGCGGGGUGAAGUCAGAGCGAAAGCGCUGGUGGACUGCAUUGAAGUGAGAAUGCCGGAAUGAGUAGCGAGAUUUAUGUGAGAAUCAUAAAGGCCGAAAGACUAAGGUUUCAGAAGGAAGGUUCGUCCGCUUCUGGUUAGCCGGGAGCUAAGGUGAGGCCGAAAGGCGUAGCCGAUGCACAUACGGUGGAGAUUCCGUAGCCGUCGAAAUAUUUAAGCAAAGGGACACUUAUGAAGGACAUGACCCGGGCGAUGGUAGCCCCGGGCGUAAGGGACCGAAAACAAGUAGGGAAGCAUGUUUGGAUUAAGGCGAGAAAAGCUUUGUGUAUAUAUGAGACGUCCGUACCGCAAACCGACACAGGUAGUCAGGAAGAGGAUUCUAAGGCCAACGGGAGAAGGGUAGUUAAGGAACUCGGCAAAUUGACCCCGUAACUUCGGAAUAAGGGGUGCUCACGAGAGUGAGCCGCAGUGAAUAGGUCCAGGCGACUGUUUAUCAAAAACACAGCUCUCUGCUAAAUCGAAAGAUGACGUAUAGGGGGUGACACCUGCCCGGUGCUGGAAGGUUAAGAGGAGGAGUGCAAGCUCCGAAUUGAAGCCCCAGUAAACGGCGGCCGUAACUAUAACGGUCCUAAGGUAGCGAAAUUCCUUGUCGGGUAAGUUCCGACCCGCACGAAUGGUGUAACGAUCUGGACACUGUCUCAACUACCCACCCGGCGAAAUUGUAGUACCGGUGAAGAUGCCGGUUACCCGCGGCAAGACGGAAAGACCCCAUGGAGCUUUACUGUAACUUGAUAUUGGGUCUUGGUAUUCUAUGUACAGGAUAGGCGGGAGACUAUGAAACAUACACGCCAGUGUAUGCGGAGUCACCCUUGGGAUACCGCUCUUAGAGUACUGAGAUUCUAACCUGCGGCCGUGAAUCCGGUCGGGGGACAUUGUCAGGUGGGCAGUUUGACUGGGGCGGUCGCCUCCUAAAAGGUAACGGAGGCGCUCAAAGGUUAGCUCAGCACGGUCGGAAACCGUGCCUCUGAGUGCAAACGCAAAAGCUAGCCUAACUGCGAGGCUGACGGGCCGAGCAGUAACGAAAGUUGGAGUUAGUGAUCCGGCGGUAUGUGAAUGGAAAUGCCGUCGCUCAACGGAUAAAAGCUACCCUGGGGAUAACAGGCUGAUCUCCCCCAAGAGUCCACAUCGACGGGGAGGUUUGGCACCUCGAUGUCGGCUCAUCACAUCCUGGGGCUGAAUUCGGUCCCAAGGGUUCGGCUGUUCGCCGAUUAAAGUGGUACGCGAGCUGGGUUCAGAACGUCGUGAGACAGUUCGGUCCCUAUCUGUCGUGGGCGCAGGAUAUUUGAGGAGAGCUGUCCUUAGUACGAGAGGACCGGGAUGGACGCACCGCUGGUGCACCAGUUGUCAUGCCAAUGGCACGGCUGGGCAGCUAAGUGCGGACGGGAUAAACGCUGAAAGCAUCUAAGCGUGAAGCCCCCUCCAAGAUAAGAUAUCCCACAGCUUAAGCUGGUAAGACCCCUCAUGGACUAUGAGGUUGAUAGGCUGCAGGUGUAAGAGUAGUGAUACUUUCAGCUGGGCAGUACUAAUAGGUCGAGGGCUUGACCA